rnacentral:tRNA from 1 species
GCUGGGAUGGCGGAACAGGCAGACGCGCGGGACUUAAAAUCCCGUUCUAGAAAUAGAGUGGGGGUUCGAUUCCCCCUCCCAGCACCA